rnacentral:lncRNA from 1 species
CAGCCGACCAAGCGCCACCUUAAGGUUGAAGAGUACGUUACUCCUGAGAAGUUCAAAUACUGGGAAGAAGUAGGAAAUGAACUUGGAUUUCACUACACUGCAAGUGGCCCUUUGGUGCGAUCUUCAUAUAAAGCAGUACGCACAAGAGGCUCGGAUCCUGGGUGAUCUUUUCGGAUGUCGGUUGCGUUCAGGUCGUACUUGUAAGAUGACAGAGAGGAGUGACCUCUCAUGAUCCUCAUAAGAUGAAGCCUCUGGGGCUGCGCUGCAACAGGAAACGCUGCGCUCAUCUGAAGCUACACUGAACGGAGCCUCAUGGGCGGAAGGGAGUGCGCCCCUCAGCGCACUAGCUCAGGCCCCACUCACGGGCGGGAAGGAGAGCUCUGGCUUCCCUGGAGGGGAAUGAGGGAGUUAGCGAUUUCCCUGCUCAGCUGCAGGGAGCUCUGCUUUAUAAGCAUCAGAUCCAUGCUAAUGAUGGCGGAACCGCUCUCUGGCUCUCUGAAACAACUCUGUCAGCCAUGAGGAAUAGUCAGCCUUUGCAGGGGAUGAAGGCACGCAGAAGCAGCCCACGGGGUUGGCCGGCCAUCUUGCAGAACCCUUGGUUAUUGGAAGGAAUAAUAGUUGAGUGUCUAGAGAUGAAUCAGUCCUUUUGGUCCCCGAGCAGGCCUGGGCUGUUACAGAGAGAGGAAAGGGAGGGAGAUGUGGUAAUGCAUUACAAUCUCAAAAACUAGAAAUUAA